rnacentral:lncRNA from 1 species
UUUGCUUGAAUUUCGAACUUGAGGUUGUAAUAAUUUAAUGCACUUGUUUAAUUAUGAUGGACUGUUGUAAUCUCUAUAACCACUCACCUUCGUGCGAGUCUUGUUUUCUCAAUCCUAAGGUAAGUGGUUUAUCAGAUGAAAUCUGAUGGACGACCGAAUUGACUUGAUUAAAGUACAUGAUCGCGUGUUAAGCGACUUAAGUGUGCUUUAGCCAAGUUAAUUUGGGUGGUUCCGCCACAGCUACACUCAACAAGACUUAACCGACCGGUG